rnacentral:misc_RNA from 1 species
GGAUCAUAGCACUUGUAACCUUUCUAAAAGCCGAGAGUAGCCUAAAAAGACACACUUAAUUGAUUUAGGUUGGAGUUUGUCUUUUUCAGGAGUAUGAUUAUGAACAAAAUAAAUGCAACCAAAUACACGUAAUGGCAAAUGAUAAGGAUUUUCUUUUGGAAAUAGAAUUGAAUGAGGACUUGGGUGCUGCAAGAUAGAAGAAGGCAUUCUGUUAAUCAAACAUCAUGUUGUUAGAAUGGCAUCCUCCUAGAAACAAAGAGGAACAUUAUGGUGUAUUAAUAAGGUAUGAGAAAAAGCUAGGCACAUGUAAGACAGA